GGGGUUGUGGCUCAGUGGUCGAGCGCUUGCCUAGCACGCAUGAGGCACUGGAUUCAAUCCCG
rnacentral:tRNA from 1 species